rnacentral:lncRNA from 10 species
GGCGGGGCUCGGGCUCUGUCCGAGGUGCUGAACUCCGGGGCUCCGGCCGCGCCGGCAGAGUGUGCCAGCGUCCAUUAUUGCCAGUGUCUGUGGGCAUCUUCCAGAAGGCCGAGCAUGGGGGUCAGGUGAAACCAGGGCGGUAAGUGCUUCUCCCAUCAUUUCUCAGAAAUGCUUAGGUGCCUACUUUUUACAAUUUCGUGCACAUUUUCAGGAUCAUAACCUCUCACCGCCAGUUCCUCACAGGUUUCUGCAAAAACUGACGACCUUUCUUCCCCUUCAGUCCCUGCAAAAAUCCAGACACCUAUCACCCAGCCCCGCUCCGCAACCAUUUCCUACAAGAAUCCAGGCCCCUACGCAUCUCAUCCCCACGCGUCAAUGCAAAAAUAAAAAAUGUUAAAUCCGCCUUCCA